AGUUGUGAUCGUGUUAACGCCGAUAGCCGUUCUGUAUACGCGACGGAUUACGCCGUGGGCUGGACUGCUCGGUAAGCGUACCCUGUUAUUGGUUAACGUUCCAGUGUUUGGUUAAUCCUGGAUUGCCGAGGUCCACUGUAAGCUGUCGGAUAAUGAUCGAGGCUUCAUGCUGUUUACCACUGAGGCUAAAUCGUCGAUUUUCGAUUCAUCGACUAACGCUAUCUCCGCAGAUGGCAAAGAAGAAGAAGAAGAAGAAGAAGAAGAAGAGAAGGAGAAGGAGGAAUACGAAGCUACAGAAGAAGCCGAUGGGUGAAUAAAUCCUCAGCUGUAUUUAAUCGAGCUAAAUACCGUGAGAGGAAAUAAAGUUUUAAAAUUAUAAAAGCGGCGUUAGAACGUGCUAAGAAGGAAGACAGGGGUGGAUUUUCUCCGGAUAAAUUCAAAAGAAGUUUUCGCCGUAUUUCCGCCGGACAAAAGAAGAAAACGCGAGAUCCACCCUUAUACACUCACCCCCUGCAAUUCUGCGAGUACACAUAAGAGUAUCGCCUGCGGGACGCUGCUAGCCGGAUGGCGAAGCUGGUCUUUUUGCAAUAAACGCGUCGUAGGGAAGAACUUUGGCGAGAUCCGCAUCUAGAGGAUACCUUUGGUUAUUGUUACACCGAACAAUGGAGCCCAGGUAUCACUGGGAAUGGUGUCGCGUGGCCUGCCAUUACUUCCCACCCCCGCCUAUCAUCCCUUCUCUUCUCUCUGAACUGCAAGCUUUUCCACCAUUUGCUCCAAUUCCGACCACCUCGGUUCUCCUCAGCCCCAAGAAGCUGCAGUUUCACCUGCAACGACAUCUUCGAGAUGGGCGGUGGAACAAUGCUGCGGCCUGUUAACCCGUGAUAAUUUGUUUCGUCGAGCUUUUUUGGCUCUUCCUAAUACCAGUCAACAAUUUAUUACUGCACCGAGAGAUGUUUCUAUUGUCGGAGCUACUUCACAGUCCCUGUAACUGUUCUCAUUCUUCGCCGUAACCGAAAAAUACAGUUCUCAUCGCAAGUUUUUUGAUUACAGACCUGUAUAUUCGACAAGACUGACGAACUGAGGCGUUGAACAAGGAUCAGUUAUUCAUUCGUACCCGGAGUUCUCGGCAAAUCAGAGCGUAAUAUAAACGUAAACAGUCCCGACAUGACGAUUCAUCGACGAUCGUUUGACGCUGGCUCGGCAAUAAAUUGGUUCCACAUCGAUCACAGGGAUAUUCGACGUCUGGAUUUCGAGGUCUAUUUGUCCAGCAGUCAUCACAGCUAGGUACAAAAGCUAUACUUUAUCACUUUCGAAUCGCGUUUCAGGAUUGAUGGACUGAUGGAUCAUCUAUAAUCUCACCGUUUGGCAGAAACAAAUACCGACACACGCGGAUCAUCGUCGAAAAUUUUCGAGUUCAUGAGUCAACCGAUUGAGAUACAAGGUUUUGAAAGGUUUUUCAUCGUGAUGUUAAAAUACGUGUUACAAGAUUAUUACUUAUCGUGUAUCAGGAAUGAACGACGACCAGUUGUUCAAGGAAUAAACCGACCUACAUGCAUGAAGACACUCAACUCGACACAGUAUACAUAGUCAUAUGUAUAUAAGGGGCAAUUCGAGUGCCCCUUUAUUACUUUAUUGAAGUUGUAAAAAUAUUUUCAAACAACAUUCGAAAGGAUUUGAUCUUUGUAAGGUGAUUGUGCGCUUGACCGUUCUUAAAACUUGCCUUAAAGUGGUCGGAGGAUGGUCGCAAAGUAACUGUGCUAUUUCCAAUAUUCAACAAGUAGGAAUACAAACUUUUUUCAAACGAGAAGUGAACAAAAGUUGUUCUCUGAAUUCCGUUCUUCAAUUUUUUAUCUGCAUCACUACAGUUUCAAGGGAUGUCAAAAUUUCCAGUUCCAAAACAAAAGAACACUUGUCGGUACACACUCUGACCAAUUGAGCCAGUAAAUUCAAGUCUGAAACAAUAUCGUAAUGUUAUUAAUUUUAUUCACCGCUGCGGCGCAGGUGGAUUGAUUAAUUCGCAAAUUAGUUGCAUUUGGUACAAAAUCUGCCUACCUAUGUGCUAUAUAUAUAAUAAAUUCAACAAAUUUUUUGCGUAUGCGUACAUCGACCAAUUUUGAAUACAACUCAAUUCGCAGGUGAGUGGUAUAUGAAGUUUAUAAAAUUAAUGAGGUGAAAUUAGCGUUUGCACAAUGGCAUUAUACAAACUGCAGAGUAUUGACUCAUGGCGUAUUAUACCUACAAGGUACAUCCCAUAAAUCUGGUAUUGUAGGCACAUGUGUAGGUAUAUUAUACAUGCGUGAGCGUGAAGCUGGUGUAGCAAGUGGCUGAAAAUCCAUUAGUUGGGUGUUCUCCGUACACCGCGAGGCAAAAGUUUGAGAUCUCUGUGUUGGCGCAGGUUCAACAACCGGUACACAAAACGUCUGGAUGGCGUAUAUAUGAGAGAAAUCGUUGUGUGAAUGUGAGUCUAGGUUUUAUGUCAAAGUGGACGUUUUGACAAGGGUCAAAGUUAUCCAACGUUACAUUACAGCGCCCUCCUCCCUCACUCUGCGUAUGUACAACCACACACUACGCACAACCACGAGGUAGAGGAAAGAGGAAGACAAGGAGAAGGUGAAUGAGAAGGCACAGGGUAGGCGCUAAGGAGUGAGGAAUAAAAAGAAGAGCACGAGAAGAAAGUGAGGAAAGUAGU
rnacentral:misc_RNA from 1 species